rnacentral:rRNA from 1 species
AACGAACGCUGGCGGCAUGCCUAACACAUGCAAGUCGAACGAAGCCUUCGGGCUUAGUGGCGCACGGGUGCGUAACGCGUGGGAAUCUGCCCUUGGGUUCGGAAUAACAGUUAGAAAUGAAUGCUAAUACCGGAUGAUGUCUUCGGACCAAAGAUUUAUCGCCCAAGGAUGAGCCCGCGUAGGAUUAGGUAGUUGGUGGGGUAAUGGCCCACCAAGCCGACGACCCUUAGCUGGUCCGAGAGGAUGAUCAGCCACACUGGGACUAAGACACGGCCCAGACUCCUACGGGAGGCAGCAGUGGGGAAUAUUGGACAAUGGGCGAAAGCCUGAUCCAGCAUUGCCGCGUGAGUUAUGAAGGCCUUAGGGUUGUAAAGCUCUUUUACCAGGGAUGAUAAUGACAGUACCUGGAGAAUAAGCUCCGGCUAACUCCGUGCCAGCCGCCGCGGUAAAAC